GGGCGUUAAGUUGCAGGGUAUAGACCCGAAACCCGGUGAUCUAGCCAUGGGCAGGUUGAAGGUUGGGUAACACUAACUGGAGGACCGAACCGACUAAUGUUGAAAAAUUAGCGGAUGACCUGUGGCUGGGGGUGAAAGGCCAAUCAAACCGGGAGAUAGCUGGUUCUCCCCGAAAGCUAUUUAGGUAGCGCCUCGUGAAUUCAUCUCCGGGGGUAGAGCACUGUUUCGGCUAGGGGGCCAUCCCGGCUUACCAACCCGAUGCAAACUGCGAAUACCGGAGAAUGUUAUCACGGGAGACACACGGCGGGUGCUAACGUCCGUCGUGAAGAGGGAAACAACCCAGACCGCCAGCUAAGGUCCCAAAGUCAUGGUUAAGUGGGAAACGAUGUGGGAAGGCACAGACAGCCAGGAUGUUGGCUUAGAAGCAGCCAUCAUUUAAAGAAAGCGUAAUAGCUCACUGGUCGAGUCGGCCUGCGCGGAAGAUGUAACGGGGCUAAACCAUGCACCGAAGCUGCGGCAGCGAC
rnacentral:rRNA from 1 species